GUCCUAUAACCACUCUCACGUACGUGGAUACUACAGUAUCCAAAACAACAAUGGCGGCAUCCGUACAUGGAUACUACAGUAUCCAAAACGACAAGUUUAAGAAAAUGACAUCUAGUUAAAACUGAGCUUAGAAAUAAACGUUUUUAUCGACGUAGAAUGAUAGCUUAGGAAACAGUUCACCCAAUAAACUACAGAUGGCAAUGAAAUAUGAUUAGUUCUCUGUAAAAAAAAUUCCAAACUCAAGUGACUCGUUCUAGUGAAUUUUGUGAACAAGUGUUUCGGAGUUUCAGCAAUUAUGUCGUUUAUCGUUAUGGACAGUGCGGUAUCCACGGACGUUAGAACAAACGUCAUAAAUAAGGGUUUGUAGAAACGAAAAAAUAUGUUUGCAAUUUUUUGUUACGCAUGGUGUAAUGUGUUUAUUUAUGUCUCCUGAUUAUGAUAUGAUGAUGAUGGCCGUGGCAGUCGUGGAGACCGCGGGGGACGUGGAAACAGUGGAGAAACGGUGGAUUAUCAUUUACAACUCGAAAUCUUAUCAAAAAUGUCUCAUUAAAAUUUACAACACUGUUA